rnacentral:tRNA from 1 species
AUCUGGCUGGCUCAGUCAGUAGAGUGUGUGACUUUUGAUCUCAGGGUUGUGAGUUUGAGUCCCACAUUGGGUA